rnacentral:snRNA from 1 species
UCUUCCGACAAAAGAUCUGG